AUUGAACGCUGGCGGCAGGCCUAACACAUGCAAGUCGAGCGGGGUUUUCGGACCUAGCGGCGGACGGGUGAGUAAUGCGUAGGAAGCUACCCGAUAGAGGGGGAUACCAGUUGGAAACGACUGUUAAUACCGCAUAACGUCUACGGACCAAAGUGUGGGACCUUCGGGCCACAUGCUAUCGGAUGCGCCUACGUGGGAUUAGCUAGUUGGUGGGGUAAUGGCUCACCAAGGCGACGAUCCCUAGCUGGUUUGAGAGGAUGAUCAGCCACUCUGGAGCUGAGACACGGUCUAGAUGCCUACAGGAGGCAGCAGUGGGGAAUAUUGGACAAUGGGCGCAAGCCUGAUCCAGCCAUGCCGCGUGUGGUAAGAAGGCCUUCGGGUUGUAAAGCACUUUCAGUAGGGAGGAAGAGUUGAGUGUUAAUAGUACUCAGCUUUGACGUUACCUACAGAAGAAGCACCGGCUAACUCUGUGCCAGCCGCCGCCGUAACAC
rnacentral:rRNA from 1 species